GAUGAACGCUGGCGGCGUGCCUAAUACAUGCAAGUCGAACGCUGAAGGAGGAGCUUGCUCUUCUGGAUGAGUUGCGAACGGGUGAGUAACGCGUAGGUAACCUGCCUGGUAGCGGGGGAUAACUAUUGGAAACGAUAGCUAAUACCGCAUGACAACAGUUAUUGCAUGAUAACUGUUUAAAAGGGGCAACUGCUCCACUACCAGAUGGACCUGCGUUGUAUUAGCUAGUUGGUGAGGUAACGGCUCACCAAGGCGACGAUACAUAGCCGACCUGAGAGGGGGAUCGGCCACACUGGGACUGAGACACGGCCCAGACUCCUACGGGAGGCAGCAGUAGGGAAUCUUCGGCAAUGGACGGAAGUCUGACCGAGCAACGCCGCGGGAGUGAAGAAGGGUGUCGGAUCGUAAAGCUCUGUUGUAAGAGAAGAACGAGUGUGAGAGUGGAAAGUUCACACUGUGACGGUAUCUUACCAGAAAGGGACGGCUAACUACGUG
rnacentral:rRNA from 1 species